GCAAAGUUCGACACACAGAUCAGUGAACCUUGAGCGCCCUUGUGCAGACACACAUUGUGGAGGUUUGUCAAGAACUCUCGGCCGCGAUUAUAAUGACAGGUUUCUAAUGAAGAGACUGUGUGUGUCACCGCGCAUAAGAGAAAAAGAGGGAGGGAAGGAGAGAGCUCUUUAAACAAAAGACAAGGAGGCCCAAGCAGGGGCCUGGAGCCGUCCCUGGAGCCUGCUCAGCCUGAAGACCCUCCAGUUCCCCAGCCAGGCAGGCAUUUUGGAGAGGUUCUGCCACCGAGGCGGAACGGUCCUGGGCUCGCUCUCCAUGCGGCUGGAGAAGAACUGGAGACAAAGCCCCGAUCCAAGGCCUCGCAGCGAGGCUCCAAUCAGCGCCCCGGGCUUCUAGCCUACGGUCCAGGCACGACCCCCUGCGGGCUGUGACCCGGGAAGGGAGCCCAGGCCGGGCCCCAGGCUUCCCUGGGCCCUAGGUAGCCCUGGCUAGCCAGGUUGCCCCUGACGCACUCAGCCAGCUGCUCUUGGGUGCUUGCGAGUUCAAAACAGGCUCUCUCAUUAAUUAAAAGCUGGACAGUCUUGUCACUUUCUUUCCUGGCCGAGGAAGCGCCUCUAGAAGUCCCCGCAGUACUCUUGGCCCUCGAGUGAGGCCUUGGAGGUCGAGCGGCCAUUUACUGCCCUCUGAUUGCGCCGAGGACCAGGUUAGCUCAUAAAGCCUUUCACACUCAACAAUGGGGAUUUUCUCAACAAUUAACAAGAAACAACAUAAUAAAGCCAUUUACAAAGAC